rnacentral:lncRNA from 1 species
GAGGCUCACGCAGCGCUUCUGGCUGGAACGGGGAAGCCUGCACUUAGCUUUGGGAGUGGGUUUGGGAGAGGGAGGAGGAGCCGCCGGGAGUCUGGCGGGAGGGCGGUGUUCCCGUCUGGGUUCCUCUCUGCUGUCCCAGCCCCGGUAGCUUCCACAGCAGCCUCGAAGGGUGAGAAUUUGCUCUUCUAUGGACUUGGAUACUCCACCCAGUCUGAAGUGACUGCAAAUCUGCGGCAAUCUUGGCUGACUGGGACCUCGCCAGACUCUUAAGCCAUGGAAAUGGAUCGCCCCUCAUUAAUUCAGGGGCAGGUUCAUCACCCUGUAAAAGGAAGGCCGUGAUUUUAUUUUACUCCGUAAACCGAAAGUUUUAUUGUCCAGUGAACAUUUCUUGCUCCGCCGCUUGUGCCAAGAGAGCCUUAGACUCUUUCCAGUAAUGAGGCUUGUAAAUCCUGCGGAAUCGGAGCCCAACGUGUGUAAUGCCGGGGCUGUGCUUACAAGAUCGUGCUCCAGUCCGCAUGGAAAAUUACUCCCAAAGACGUGGUCGGAGAGGUCGAGAUCUCUGAGCCUUGGCCCCCACUGCUUCCACUUUUGACUGAUGUCUAAGAAAAUUCCCUUUUUUCUGUUCUCACAUUUUAACUAGCCAAGGGUUUAACUUGUUGGAAUGAGUGGGAGCAAAAGCACAAUUAAGAAAAAAGCUUGACAGUUUUGCCUCAUACAUUUAAUGACAUAAGCUAUUUUAUAGGAGAAAGAGAACCAAACUGCUACCAUUCUGGAAUCUCCUGCCUAAAUUUUCGUGAAAUUAGAAAAAAACAGAAUCGAGACAACACCCGUUAUAACUCUGGGCCUUUGAAAUUAAGACAGAAAAUUAUGGAAAAAUGUGUUCCAUUAUGAUCACGUUUUGUCUAAAAUUAACAUAUCAAGAUAACAUGAACUUAAUGCUUUCAUCUUGAUAGCAUUAAAAACAGGUGGAAAACCCUGCAAAGAAAUCUUGCCUGGGAUGUGACAUUUUAGAAAGAAUCAUUUCCUGUGCCCAGAACUAAGCCAGUUAUUACUCUGUUUUGAAGGUUUGGUCUCAGUUUUUUAAAAGAAGAGGAAAACUGGAGAAAGUUCUGAGAAGAGUAACAAAUAAUUAAAGAAGUGGAAACUAUGACCUGUGAGAAGAAUGAAAUAAGGUUUAUUUAGUCUGAAGGGGAAAAAAAAAGCUAAAAGAUGGAUUCCUUAAUAACAGCCUUUCAUGUGUGGCAAGUACAGCUUCAUAAAACUAGGCACAAAGCAAACAGCAUCAGUCCUCUGAGUCCAAGGACUCUGCUAGGAAUGGCUGGUGUUUUGGCCAGAUCUGUCUCCAGAAAGCCAAACCUGCAAUUGCCAAACUCCUUGAACUUGACUUCUUGCUUCCUUGGUUCUCCAGUAUCUUUAAGAACUUGGAGAGCUACAACCUGGCUUCCUGCCCUCCCAAACCCCCGUUCCCCUCAUGAAUGCUUACCGGCUUCUCUGCAUCACAGAAAAAGCAGAGGUCAUCAGUAUAAAGAUUUUGAACUAACUUCCCCUCCUACUUCUGUUGCUCCAACCAUAGAUGGACUUGCAUUUACUGUCAUUGCUGACUCUCCCGGGAAAGUCUCUCCAAUUUUGCUCUGGAUCCACUCACUUGCAACUUCCUCACACACUGUACCUUAUCAAUGGCCCUCUCUCCUACACACUCACCUCUCUCUCUUUACAUUUAGAAGCACUUAAAUACAAUACAGACUCUAUCAUAAUAAAAGUAAUAGGCUCAUUUCUUUGGCCCUACAUAUUCAUCUACCAAAUUUCUAGGCCAGAGAUUCUCAAACAUUUUGGUCUCAGAAAUACUUUCCAUCCCUAAAAAUUAUUAAAGGCCCC